CUAAUACAUGCAAGUCGUACGCUUCUUUUUCCACCGGAGCUUGCUCCACCGGAAAAAGAAGAGUGGCGAACGGGUGAGUAACACGUGGGUAACCUGCCCAUCAGAAGGGGAUAACACUUGGAAACAGGUGCUAAUACCGUAUAACAAUCGAAACCGCAUGGUUUUGAUUUGAAAGGCGCUUUCGGGUGUCGCUGAUGGAUGGACCCGCGGUGCAUUAGCUAGUUGGUGAGGUAACGGCUCACCAAGGCCACGAUGCAUAGCCGACCUGAGAGGGUGAUCGGCCACAUUGGGACUGAGACACGGCCCAAACUCCUACGGGAGGCAGCAGUAGGGAAUCUUCGGCAAUGGACGAAAGUCUGACCGAGCAACGCCGCGUGAGUGAAGAAGGUUUUCGGAUCGUAAAACUCUGUUGUUAGAGAAGAACAAGGAUGAGAGUAACUGUUCAUCCCUUGACGGUAUCUAACCAGAAAGCCACGGCUAACUACGUGCCAGCAGCCGCGGUAAUACGUAGGUGGCAAGCGUUGUCCGGAUUUAUUGGGCGUAAAGCGAGCGCAGGCGGUUUCUUAAGUCUGAUGUGAAAGCCCCCGGCUCAACCGGGGAGGGUCAUUGGAAACUGGGAGACUUGAGUGCAGAAGAGGAGAGUGGAAUUCCAUGUGUAGCGGUGAAAUGCGUAGAUAUAUGGAGGAACACCAGUGGCGAAGGCGGCUCUCUGGUCUGUAACUGACGCUGAGGCUCGAAAGCGUGGGGAGCAAACAGGAUUAGAUACCCUGGUAGUCCACGCCGUAAACGAUGAGUGCUAAGUGUUGGAGGGUUUCCGCCCUUCAGUGCUGCAGCUAACGCAUUAAGCACUCCGCCUGGGGAGUACGACCGCAAGGUUGAAACUCAAAGGAAUUGACGGGGGCCCGCACAAGCGGUGGAGCAUGUGGUUUAAUUCGAAGCAACGCGAAGAACCUUACCAGGUCUUGACAUCCUUUGACCACUCUAGAGAUAGAGCUUCCCCUUCGGGGGCAAAGUGACAGGUGGUGCAUGGUUGUCGUCAGCUCGUGUCGUGAGAUGUUGGGUUAAGUCCCGCAACGAGCGCAACCCUUAUUGUUAGUUGCCAUCAUUCAGUUGGGCACUCUAGCAAGACUGCCGGUGACAAACCGGAGGAAGGUGGGGAUGACGUCAAAUCAUCAUGCCCCUUAUGACCUGGGCUACACACGUGCUACAAUGGGAAGUACAACGAGUCGCGAAGUCGCGAGGCUAAGCUAAUCUCUUAAAGCUUCUCUCAGUUCGGAUUGUAGGCUGCAACUCGCCUACAUGAAGCCGGAAUCGCUAGUAAUCGCGGAUCAGCACGCCGCGGUGAAUACGUUCCCGGGCCUUGUACACACCGCCCGUCACACCACGAGAGUUUGUAACACCCGAAGUCGGUGAGGUAACCUUUUGGAGCCAGCCG
rnacentral:rRNA from 1 species